rnacentral:rRNA from 1 species
AUACGGAGGGUGCAAGCGUUAUUCGGAAUCACUGGGCGUAAAGGGUGCGUAGGCGGUUUGAUAAGUCUGAUGUGAAAUCCUAUGGCUCAACCAUAGAACUGCAUUGGAAACUGUCAGACUAGAAUACUGAAGGGGCAGAUGGAAUUAGUGGUGUAGGGGUAAAAUCCGUAGAUAUCACUGGGAAUACCGAAAGCGAAAGCGAUCUGCUGGGAAGUUAUUGACGCUGAGGCACGAAAGCGUGGGGAGCAAACGGGAUUAGAAACCCUUGUAGUCC